rnacentral:tRNA from 1 species
GUGAUUUCGCUAGGCAUAUGGUAUAGCCCGGCAACUCAUAAUCCUUUGGUCCACGGUUCGAGUCCGUGUGGGCCCACCA